UGCAGCUCUACAAAGUUUAUAGUCAGUCAGGAUGAGGAACAUUUCCUUCAGAUAUCUUGAGUUGAGAGGUCUUUGGAGCGCUUUUAAAUUGGCAGUGUU